UACGUAGGGUGCAAGCGUUAAUCGGAAUUACUGGGCGUAAAGCGUGCGCAGGCGGUUUUGUAAGUCUGACGUGAAAUCCCCGGGCUUAACCUGGGAAUUGCGUUGGAGACUGCAAGGCUGGAGUCUGGCAGAGGGGGGGUAGAAUUCCACGUGUAGCAGUGAAAUGCGUAGAUAUGCGGAGGAACACCGAUGGCGAAGGCAAUCCCCUGGGCCUGCACUGACGCUCAUGCACGAAAGCGUGGGGAGCAAACAGG
rnacentral:rRNA from 1 species